UUUGCUGGUGUGCUACAAGAAGCUGAGGUCAUCUGUGGCCUAACAGGUCAGACCGGAACCCAGCAAUGUCCUGAAGCAGCUCUGAGAUAUGGCUCAGUCAUCAGCAUUUAUUGGGUGCCCACUGUGUACACACAGGACUGACAACACCGGCCCAGUCCCUGCUCUAAAGGAAGCCCAGGAUCCCCGGGGGAAGUAGACCAUAAUGAAAUCAUAAAAAAAACCCCUGUCUUCAGUCUGGCCUCGCAACAGGACCCCAGGCCAACUCCCCUCUGACCAUCCCCAUUAAAGGUCCCUCCUCCCCUACGUUGACAGUCCUUAUCUGCUUUGUGGCUGAACCUGCCCAACCUGAAAUCUGUCCUCUCACAGCACUGGCCUUUCUACUCUGUUCAGAAUAGUAGCUUCUACGCCCAAAGACCAUCCCGGCUCCUUGCCCACAGCCUGCUCUGGGGACUGUUGUGACAACCAUUUGCUUGCCCCCACCCCCUCCUGCAUUUCACCUUCAGGAGAAGCAAGCGGGAACUGCCAAGCCUUUGCAUUUGCCGUGGUGCCUUCCACCACGUGUGCCAUCUCAGAAACUGUGGCAGGGCUGGCUCCUUCCUGCCCUGCGGAUCUGAGAGCAAAUUCUGCUUCUGUGCUACAAACUGACCAGCCAGGUUCCUGUGCCAAGAAGCUUCCGUCACUUCCCAGCUGGGUAGCUGUGGGUCUCCUCAGGUACCUCACCUUAAAAAUAGGGGAAAACUCUAGCAUCUACUUUCUAGGGGAGUUUCGAAGGAUGAGUAAAUGAAUAAAUGUCCAUAAAGUGCUUAAAACAGGACAGGGCACACAGUAGGUCCACAUCUUCUAGAUACUACGCACAGGUGACUGAUCCCAAUGCAUGAGAUGUGGUUAAGUAUGAAAAACACACCAGAUGUGGGAGACGCGGUACUCCCAAAAGAAUGUGAAAUAGCCUGUUAUUUUUUUUAAAAAAAAAUAUGGUUUUAUUGAUUUUAGAGAGGAAGGGAGACGGUUAGAGAGAGAGAAACAUUGUUGAGCUGCCUCUGCACGCCUCCGACUGGCAAUGGAGCCCGCAACUUGGCCAUGUGCCCUGAACGGGAAUCGAACCUGUGAUUUCUUGACUCAUGGGUCGACACUCAACCACUGAGCCACACUGGAUGGGCUCGUUAU